CUAAUCAAAGUGCCUUGUUUCUUCUUCCAGCCUCAAACCAGUGUUUGCAGGGCUGCCACAUAGCCUCCUUAGGGGUCUGGUCCCUCCACUGUCAUGCCACUCAGAUGAUCGCUGAACCCACGAGGCUGAUGUUCUGUUCUCAGUCUUAAUGGGCCCUAAUUAUGAGCCCAUUCUGCAGGGUACCUGAACAAAAAUAUCACAAUUUAAACCCAAGAAAAUAGGGCCUAGAGCAUAAGAAUAGCACAUAACUAGGGGCCUAGGCAAGGAACCAAGGUGACCUUCGUGUGCCCUGGGUUGCGGUUCCCUGGUGCCUNNNNNNNNNNNNNNNNNNNNNNNNNNNNNNNNNNNNNNNNNNNNNNNNAGGAGGCUGGUCUGAGGCCUGCUAUCCCUGCCACGGGACCUGGCCUCCAGCCCCUGUCACUGGGGAGUUGUAGCUACCAGCCUGAUCCUGCUUUUGGCCUCGGUCCAGCCCACUGGCCUCACCUUAAAUUACCACCUGCUUGGUCAUGCACAUCACACGGACCCAGCCUCAGCCUGCAGGCCUGGCCUCUGGGACCCACGCUCGGCUGGCCCAGCCCUGGGCUGAUGAACUCUGCAUGGUUCCCAGAGAUUCUAGUACUUCAUGCAGAGAGAGGACACACCCAUCAUGCAGAGACCCAGGGAAGGGUGUAGAACCACAACAGUGGUGUUGCUGGAUAUGGUGUGAACAACAGGCUCUCCAAUUCAGUAGGAAUCUCUGUGUGUGCAUUCUAGCGAACCCACAGCACGGAAGGACAUCACCCUGGUGUCCGACCAUACGUAAGACACACCAGAGGCCCAAGUCAUGAAUGAGGCACAAGCUCAGUCAUCAGCUGACCUGGGGCAGCCAAUUGGUUACACAGCCUUGCAGAGCAUUUCAUGUGUGUUGACACUGAAGCUGUGCCCUUAACUACAUACCAUCACCUCCUAAAAUGUCUAUGAGAGGAUACAUCAUCGAAUUUUAGGAAGAAAACCCAUGCAUCAUGCUAUUUAUGAAUCUGAUAAUUCAAGACUAUGUUCUGGUUGUUUCUCAUUUUAUCCCUCCUAGAUAAGUGUCUAUAUGCGGUGGUUAGUUUCAUGCCAGUGUGCCCAGACUCCAGUACCCAGUUACUUCAUCAAAUGCAAAUCCAGAGGUUGCUAUGAAGGUAUUUUGUAGAUGUAAUGAGCAUUUACAGUUGACUUUAUUGUAAGGAGAGCAUCCUUGAUGCGAUAGGUGGAUUUUAUCUGGUCAGUUGAAGGCUUUUAGAGAAAACACUGAGUUAUCCAGAGAAGAAAUUCNNNNNNNNNNNNNNNNNNNNNNNNNUUCCCUGCUGGUCCAGUGGCUAAGACUCCAUGCUCCCAGUGCAGGGGGCCCGGGUUCAAUCCCUGGUGGAGAACAAGAUCCCACAUGCUGCAACUCAAGAGUUCACACGCUGUAACUAAGACCCAGUGAAGCCAAACACAUAAAUGUUUAAAAAAAGAAUAAAUGCACCUAAAAAUUUAUUUUAAAGACUGUAAUUGCAAAUCCUGCUUGAGUUGUCAGUCCCAUGAUCACAUGAGCCAAUUCUUAAAAUCAUUCUUUCUCCUCCUCUCUUCCUAUAUGGGCUUCUCCAGUGGCUCAAUGGAAAAGAAUCCACCUCCAAUGCAGGAGAUGCAGGAGACUGGAUCCGAUCUCUGGGUCGAGAAGAUCCCUCAGAGGAGGGCAUGGCAACUCACUCCAAUAUUCUUGCCUCGAGAAUCCCACGACAGAGGACCUUGGCAGGUUACAGGCAUGGUGUCACAAAGAGUCAGACACAAUUGAAGCAACUGUGUGUAGGUAUAUAUAUAUCAGUUCAGUUCAGUUCAGUCGCUCAGUCGUGUCCGACU
ensembl:lncRNA